UACGGGGGGGGCAAGCGUUGUUCGGAAUUACUGGGCGUAAAGGGCCAGUAGGCGGCCAACUAAGUCGGAUGUGAAAUCCCCAGGCUCAACUUGGGAACUGCAUCCGAUACUGGAUGGCUUGAAUUCGGGAGAGGGAUGCAGAAUUCCAGGUGUAGCGGUGAAAUGCGUAGAUAUCUGGAGGAAUACCGGUGGCGAAGGCGGCAUCCUGGACCGACAUUGACGCUGAGGCACGAAAGCGUGGGGAGCAAACAGG
rnacentral:rRNA from 1 species